CCUACGUGUGGCUGCAGUAGGGAAUAUUUCUCAAUGGGGGAAACCCUGAAGCAGCAACGCCGCGUGGAUGAUGAAGGUUUUCGGAUUGUAAACUCCUUUUGUUAGAGAAGAUAAUGACGGUAUCUAACGAAUAAGCACCGGCUAACUCCGUGCCAUCAGCCGCGGUAAUACGGAGGGUGCAAGAGUUACUCGGAUUCACUGGGCGUAAAGGUCGCGGAGGCGGGAUAGCAAGUCAGAUGUGAAAUCCUAUGGCUUAACCCUAGGACUGCAUUUGAAACUGUUUUUCUAGAGUAUGGGAGAGGUAGGUGGAAUUCUGGGUGUAGGGGUAAAAUGCGUAGAGAUCAAGAGGAACACGCAUGGCGAAGGCGACCUGCUAGAACAUAACUGACGCUGAUGCGCGAAAGCGUGGGGAGCAAACAGGAGUAGAUACCCGAGUAGUC
rnacentral:rRNA from 1 species